rnacentral:lncRNA from 1 species
CAAACCAAAACAAGAAAUACUAACCAACCUAAACGUUGGUAAGAAAAAAAAAUCAGAAUGAGACCUUCCUCCAGGAUGGGGCCUUCAGCCCAUAUCACUUAUGCCCUAGGCGUUAUCAUCAUGGCAACAAUGGUUGCUGCGUAUGAACCAUACAGCUUGCCACCACUCCCGUCAUAUUCACCAUCUCCAAAGGUAGAAUACAACACUCCCCCCCUACCAUAUAUCCACAGUUCUUCACCACCACCAUACUACUCUCCAUCACCAAAGGUUGACUACAAAUCACCUCCUCCACCAUAUGUCUACAGUUCCCCACCACCUCCUUACUAUUCCCCAUCACCUAAAGUUGACUACAAAUCUUCUCCACCACCAUAUGUCUACAGUUCUCCACCACCACCACCAUAUUACUCACCAUCUCCUAAAGUCGAGUACAAGUCUCCCCCACCACCAUAUGUAUACAGUUCUCCCCCACCACCUCCGUACUACUCUCCAUCACCAAAGGUAGAUUACAAAUCUCCUCCACCACCGUAUGUCUACAGUUCUCCACCACCACCACCAUAUUAUUCACCAUCUCCUAAGGUUGAGUACAAGUCUCCACCACCACCGUAUGUCUACAGCUCUCCACCACCACCUCCGUACUACUCUCCAUCACCAAAGGUAGACUAAUUCACCAUCUCCAAAGAUAGAAUACAACACUCCUCCCCUACCAUAUAUCCAUAGUUCCUCACCACCACCACCACUAUACUAUUCUCCAUCACCAAAGGUUGACUACAAAUCACCUCCUCCACCGUAUGUCUACAGUUCUCCACCACCACCACCAUACUAUUCACCAUCUCCUAAGGUAGAAUACAAGUCUCCUCCACCACCAUAUGUUUACAG